GCAUGCCUGGCUCCCUGCAUGCCAUUUGCAGAAUCCAUCCAGUGAAGUUGAUGGGGUUUGGAGAAUGGCGUGUGAGGAGCCGUGCAUGC
rnacentral:pre_miRNA from 1 species